CCCCCGCUGGCUCAGUAGGUAGAGCAUGUGAGUCUUGAUCUCAGGGUCAUGGGUUCGAACCCUGUGCUGGGAG
rnacentral:tRNA from 1 species